rnacentral:rRNA from 1 species
CGUAGCCGCGUAAUACGGAGGGUGCAAGCGUUAAUCGGAAUUACUGGGCGUAAAGCGCACGCAGGCGGUCUGUCAAGUCAGAUGUGAAAUCCCCGGGCUCAACCUGGGAACUGCAUUGGUGACUGCAACGCUGGAGUGCGGCAGAGGGGGAUGGAAUUCCGCGUGUAGCAGUGAAAUGCGUAGAUAUGCGGAGGAACACCGAUGGCGAAGGCAAUCCCCUGGGCCUGCACUGACGCUCAUGCACGAAAGCGUGGGGAGCAAACAGGAUUAGAUACCCGAGUAGUCCCUGUCUCUUAUACAC